AAAAAAAUGUAGUCGAGCACGGUGGCUCACGCCUGUAAUCCAAGCACUUUGGGAGGCCGAGGCGGUCAGAUUGCCUGAGCUAAGGAGUUAAACCAGCCUAGACAACACGGUGAAAACCCGUCUCUACUGAAAUAC